rnacentral:rRNA from 1 species
AUACGGAGGGGGUUAGCGUUGUUCGGAAUUACUGGGCGUAAAGCGUACGUAGGCGGACUGGAAAGUUGGGGGUGAAAUCCCGGGGCUCAACCCCGGAACUGCCUCCAAAACUUCUAAUCUAGAGAUCGAGAGAGGUGAGUGGAAUUCCAAGUGUAGAGGUGAAAUUCGUAGAUAUUUGGAGGAACACCAGUGGCGAAGGCGGCUCACUGGCUCGAUACUGACGCUGAGGUACGAAAGCGUGGGGAGCAAACAGGAUUAGAAACCCCAGUAGUCC